rnacentral:lncRNA from 1 species
GCAAACUCCCAGCCUGCCUGGCUGCCUGCUGCUGCCAAUACUUCUUGCUCUUGCUGGUGAUGACAUUCAGAGAGCUCCCCAGCACUGGUGCUUCGUUAUGUAAGGCUGUCUAGGUCAAGUGUAGGAGACACACUGCUGGCCUGUGGAAACUCAUGGAACUGUUCCUCCAGAUUAACACUUCAGGGGUUAUGGAAGCUGGAGGAAGCUGAGCUUUUACUACAUCUUUUGGG